CCCCGGUCCGGCCCUUUUCCCUUCCCGGCUCCUUCCCUUUCCCGGCCCUUUUCCCUUCCCGGCUCCUUCCCUUUCCCGGCCCUUUUCCCUUCCCGCCCGGCCCCGGGCAGCGCCGGGGCUGCCGCUCUCCUCCGCGCGGCGCUGGAGGCCAGGAGCGCUUCCCUGCGAGCUCCUCUGUCAGAGCAGAGCUUUGUAUUCCCGAGAGACGGCGCUGACGGCCCCCGCCCCACACACACAGAGCCGGGAGUGCCGGUGUCGCGGCGAGUGGCCCGCUUUGUGAGGCCAAGCCUCGCACGGAGAGUGAGUGGUUGGUGAGGAAAUCCAUAGCAUUUCGUUCUGUUUCAUCAGCAUCCCCGCCAGCCCCGGCUGUGCGUGCCCUCACGCAAGGUCAGUCCUCGCUUGUCUGCACAAGCCAGUCCCUGAUGCUCUGUGCAAUACAAACCAUAAGGGCAUGCGUUUAAAAAUUAUUCUGAGUUUAAUAUUCAAGGUUUAUUUUAAAAAUAGCGAGUAAAACCCCACCCUAGCAAGUGUUUGGAGCAAAAUAAUUUUGAAGUAGGUAGGCAGCCCUUCCAGGUCUGAAAGGCAGGACUGGGGCACCCGUGAGCUUGGCGCGCAGAGGGCACGAACCGCUGUGCUGAUGGCAAACAGAGCUAGCUCAGGUUUCAAGGGUUACUGAGUCGGUGUUGACUCUGUUUGCGAAGAAAACAAAAAAGACACUGUUACCUCGUAGAUGGCUGAUAAAUACAUCUCCCUUACAAGCAAGUAAACAUUUUGGAAGACCGGAGUGAUUCAUAUUAUUUCUGUAGGGUAAGUGAGAAGAAAAUUAUUUGAAAGCUGUUCCAUUUCUCUAAAAUACAUGGCAGAAACGAGUACAGAGUAAAGAGGGGUGAAUUGCUUCUGUCGGUGUGCAAGCACGACGAAGCAGCGAGGCACCGCGAGCCAUUCACCUCCCUCACACAACCGAGGAACGAAUGGCUGCAGCUGUGGGUGUUCUGUGGGAAAUGGAGGAGCUGCUCGCUGCCUGGCGCUGUCCCUGCUCCCGCCGCACUUCGGGGAUAACAUACCCAGGGUGAGAAAAGCUUCCUGAAAACACUACAGCUGCUGAGAAUGGAAGCUAUUCUGAAGUGUUAAUCAAGUCACAAAAGAUGGAGUCCACCUGGUUUCCUUGUGAUUCAGACAGACUGUAUCUCCUCAAAAAAGCAGGUGGGGCAAUAUGCAGCAUUUACACCAAAACUGAUGUUUUUAAACCACAUAGAAAACAGUGGAAAGAAGCCUAAGUUCCCAGCAGAAGAACAGGAUUCCCUAGCAAGGGAAGAGGGUUUGUGACUGAUGGUGUGUCCUUGCCUGAAGACCCCGCGGGAUGCAGGAUCUGGCACAGUCACGGCCUGGGGCAGCAACAGCACAAGGAUCACCUUGGCUGUGUGGCAUUGCCUUGUCCUUGCUGACAGUGAGAGCCUUGUGGUGCAAGGAUAGAAUGUUCCUGUCAGUCCAGCAAACGUUCCAGUGUGUCCUCCAUUUAAUUAGGCCUAGGAACACUACUUUUCCCCCACAUCCAUAAAUUACUUAUUCCCAUGAAGUGUGACUUCUGCUUUUAAUCACCUAUGUAAACUGUACUAGAUACAGCCAUGCUAAGUUUAACAAAUAGGCAUUUUAUAUUUUAUUUUAUUUAAAUAAUAGGCAUUUUAUAUUGUAAUAAAUAGGCAUUGUAUCAAGGUGCUGAAAACCUGCUGGGCUGAAGGUGGAGCUGGGGGCAGCCAGGUGGUGUGGUGAGGGCUCACAGUGAUCCUGUGCAGUCCAUGUCUUUUAGAGCCAUUAGGGAAAGAAAUGGGGACAUUUUAGGCCUAAACAUUUCUCUGUUAAUUCCUACUGCACCUUGAGAUGGGGUAUAGGCUCUCAGCUGUCUGUAAAUAUUUAAAAUACCUUCUCCUCUUUGCUAUGUGACUGCAGCAGACUGCCUGCCUUAUCCUGGGAGAUAAAGGCGUGCUGGCUGCAGUGGAAGAUAAUGCUUCCCAGGGAGUUUGUGCUUCAUUGCACAAUCAAUUGUCUUGCAAGGUCCUUGGGGUGUGAUUAUCUUCAGUUUCAGCUUGAAGGUGCAGUGCUGUAACUACUGAAGUAAAACUGCAGCAGGGCAGAUUUCAAGAUGUAGGUCUUUUAUACUAAAAAGUGUAUUUUUAUUCAUUUAGCAUCUUGCCUGUCUGUCCAUAGUUCAGGGCAAAUUUAACCCCCAGAGCUGGUUUGUCUUUAGCUCCAGAGCAAGCAGAGAUAACCAAGAGCAAGCACCCCACAGCAAAGGGGAGCAAAAGGCACUGCAGCCAAGCCUGGCAAACAGCUCCUGCUGGAGUGGCUGGGUGAUCAAUGGCAUCUAGGGAGAAGCACGGCUCCAGCUGAGCCCAGUGCUGUGCAGCUGAUCAGAGGGACUUUGUGCUGGCAGGAAAUACAUUGUGGUUCAAACUGUCAGAGCUUCAGUCCCACACUGCAGCAUCCAAUGGAGAGCUGGAAAAUAUUGUGUUACAGUUCUUCACUGUUUCCGCUGGAACAAGCGUUAUAAUGUAUCCAGCAGUGCUGAGUUCCUAUCAGCAGGACUAGGACGGGAAAGAAGCAGAGCUCAAUUCCAGCCAAUGAAGCUUCAGCAGCAAUAAGCCAUGUACUGACUGACUUCACCAGGACCAGCCCAAAAGCACAAGGCACUGUCUGCUCUUAGGCUGCACUGGAUCCCUCUGGGCACCCAGCUUUGAAAGCCUCCUCAGGACAGAUUUGGGUGCUCCUGCAUGUACAACCCUGAAUCCUUGUCAAGGCAAGAGAAGGUGGCCAGGAAUGUGCAAAUUUAAUUGCUUCAGCAUUACCUAAGUCAAGGUAUUGCUAUUUAAGAAUGUGUGUUAAGGGUAAAGGAAACAUAAUUUGUCAAAGCAGGUCUCUCCUGAGUUAAGGGAAAGCUCAAGAAAGCUCUGUGUGUGAGUGUGGUAAUCAGUAACAAAACUUCAUUUAAAAUUAGCAUCAGCCCCAUUUCUGCCUGAUUAACUGCUGGGGGAGGUUUUUUAUUUUCUAUUGGCAAAGUUUAGUGAGUGAUAACGGAGAGUAACCACUAAUUCUUACCUGCUCCAUCUGGGAACUGGCUGAUUCUGUUACAGCACAGACAUGACCAACACCAAGCUCCUUCCAGCUGCUGAGGGACAUAGUUUGUGUGCCUUAACCUUUGUGUUUCAGGGUCUUCAGACAGCAUUUAAAAGAACCCAUGCUAUCUCAGGAGUCCAGUGUGCAAGGGAGCUGGAUAAAGUCCUCAGCAAGAUUGCACCUGCCUGGUAACCAUUUUAAGCUCAUUUCAUACAAACUUGGUGAAAAUAACAUAUUACUACCACUGAAUGUUUCAGGGAGGUCAUUACACAAUUGAGACUCAGUUUCACUGAGCAACAGCAGAAACUGAGACAGAAGCAGAACAGUUUUAUAAGUUUAUUGUAAAGACCUUUACAAUCUCAGUACAGAGAUAAGGAUAUAAAAUGAUGUUGUCUGGAGUAAUUAAGGCUGGUUGGUGGUCAUCCAAAUGUCACUGUUCAGUGGAACUCAAGCAAGAGCAACUGAUUUCUGACUGUACAGAUUUUUAUUUGUGUUCCAUCGUUACAGUGAGAUCGCAAGUUAUUUGAAAGACUCAAUGCCUGUUUAUUAUAAAAUAAA